rnacentral:rRNA from 1 species
CUUGUUGGUAGGGUAAUGGCCUACCAAGGCGACGAUGGUUAGCUGGUCUGAGAGGAUGAUCAGCCACACUGGAACUGACACACGGUCCAGACUCCUACGGGAGGCAGCAGUGAGGAAUUUUGCGCAAUGGGGGAAACCCUGACGCAGCAACGCCGCGUGAGUGAUGAAGGCUUUCGGGUCGUAAAGCUCUGUCAAGUGGGAAGAACCCACAUGGUGAUAAUACCACCGUGUGCUGACGGUACCACUGAAGGAAGCACCGGCUAACUCCGUGCCAGCAGCCGCGGUAAUACGGGGGGUGCAAGCGUUAUUCGGAAUUACUGGGCGUAAAGAGCGCGUAGGCGGUCUCUUAAGUCAGCUGUGAAAGCCCGGGGCUCAACCCCGGAAGUGCACUUGAAACUAAGGGACUUGAGUAUGGGAGAGGGAAGUGGAAUUCCUGGUGUAGCGGUGAAAUGCGUAGAUAUCAGGAGGAACAUCGGUGGCGAAGGCGACUUCCUGGACCAAUACUGACGCUGAGGCGCGAAGGCGUGGGGAGCAAACAGGAUUAGAUACCCUGGUAGUCCACGCAGUAAACGGUGAACACUAGGUGUAGCGGGUAUUGACCCCUGCUGUGCCGCAGCUAACGCAUUAAGUGUUCCGCCUGGGGAGUACGACCGCAAGGUUAAGACUCAAAGGAAUUGACGGGGGCCCGCACAAGCGGUGGAGCAUGUGGUUUAAUUCGACGCAACGCGAAGAACCUUACCUGGAUUUGACAUCCCGGGAAUCUCUUGGAAACAUGAGAGUGCCCUUCGGGGAGCCCGGAGACAGGUGCUGCAUGGCUGUCGUCAGCUCGUGUCGUGAGAUGUUGGGUUAAGUCCCGCAACGAGCGCAACCCCUUUCUUUAGUUACCAUCAUUUAGUUGGGGACUCUAAAGAUACUGCCCCGGUUAACGGGGAGGAAGGUGGGGAUGACGUCAAGUCCUCAUGGCCUUUAUGUCCAGGGCUACACACGUGCUACAGUGGGCUGUACAAAGGGUUGCCAACCCGCGAGGGUGAGCUAAUCCCAUAAAGCAGUUCGUAGUUCGGAUUGGAGUCUGCAACUCGACUUCAUGAAGCUGGAAUCGCUAGUAAUCGUGGAUCAGCAUGCCACGGUGAAUACGUUCCCGGGCCUUGUACACACCGCCCGUCACACCAUGAGAGUUGGUUGUACCAGAAGUCGUUGGCAAACCCUUCGGGGAUGCAGGCGCCUAAGGUAUGACUGAUGAUUGGGGUGAAGC